GGCUUGUCUAAAUGCUCCCUGUGUAGGGUGUCCGCUGAGUUCUGUCUGGUGUUGGCGGAACUGAGUUCCAAUGCAAAGUCCCACAAUUGCUGUACUCUCCUUCCCCCAAGCACACGUAUUCCCUCUGCACACUACAUGUCCGCUGCUGGGGAAUGGGAGAGGGGUAGCAUAGUAAUUCCAGACUGUCCUUUCUACCCUCUUCAGUGUCUCUUUCAGUGAUGUUAAGUUAAAACUAGGUACUGUGAUCACUCACCUGAUUUUGUUUCUUAUGACGGUGCUUUUUUGUGUGUAAAUAAUUGUUAAAUUUCGUGUUUCUGUGAGGAGGAUGAUCAGUAGAGGAUUUUAUUCAGCCAUAUUGCUCUGCUUCCCCCCCUUUUUGUUUUUUGUUUUUUAGAUGCGGUCCUGCUCUGUCACCUGGGCUGAAGUACAGUGGUGUGAUGAUAGUUUACUGCAGCCUCAAACUCCUAGCCUCAAGUGAUCUUCUUGCCUCAUCAUCCUGAGUAGGAAAAAAGGAAGGACAAGAACUAGCCUCAAUCCAGCCCAAUUAGACUUCCCCCAAGUGUAACAAGCCAAUGACAACCAAUGAUGGAGGCAGUGUUUACAAGGAUCUUGAUGGAUCAUUUAAAAACUCUUUAAAAGAUUCAGGGAAACCACCCAGCCAGAAGCUUGAUAUCAAGACCCAAUGCAUCUACUUGUGUCUCCAAGUUUUGGAAUCCCGAAGCCCAAAGAGGAAGUGAGGAGCCCCAGGUCCCACCAUCAGGUAAGCAGCAGAGUCUGGGAAGGACCUGGAUGUUGCGAUUCUAGCCCAUGUUCUUUUCACGACCCAGCAUUCAACCAUCGGCAAUUUCUUUUCCAAUAUUUACCACUUUUAUAAAUUAAUAUAUGAAUAGAUUUUCUUCCAAUGUGCUUCUUACACUACAAUUGAUCUUGAAAAUACAGAUAAAAAUGUAAGUUCUCUGAUUCAAGGAUUACAGGACUUCCAAACAUCAUUUAUAGUAUUUAAAAAACUGCAAUUUUAAUUUCCAUGGAAAUUGUGGCUUAUAGCAAUAAUAAUUCCAUUACUGUUGAUGAACCAACCGAGUUAAUACAGUUUGUGU
rnacentral:lncRNA from 1 species